rnacentral:rRNA from 1 species
GAUGAACGCUGGCGGCGUGCUUAACACAUGCAAGUCGAACGAGAAGUGAAGACGGAAACCUUCGGGCGGAAGGCUUUAUUUCGAGUGGCGGCCGGGUGAGUAACGCGUGGGUAACCUGCCUCAUACAGGGGGAUAACAGUUGGAAACGACUGUUAAUACUGCAUAAGACCACAGCACCGCAUGGUGCGGGGGUAAAAACUCCGGUGGUAUGAGAUGGACCCGCGUUCGAUUAGCCAGUUGGCGGGGUAACGGCCCACCACAGCGACGAUCGAUAGCCGAUCUGAGAGGAUGACCGGCCACAUUGGGACUGAGACACGGCCCAAACUCCUACGGGAGGCAGCAGUGGGGAAUAUUGCACAAUGGGGGAAACCCUGAUGCAGCGACGCCGCGUGAGUGAAGAAGUAUUUCGGUAUGUAAAGCUCUAUCAGCAGGGAAGAAAAUGACGGUACCUGAGUAAGAAGCCCCGGCUAACUACGUG